AGCCCCGCGCUCCCGCAAAGGAGGCGGAGUUGAGAAAUUCACGACACUCAAACAGGUGUGCCCCUCGGAAUACCAAGGGGCGCAAGGUGCGUUCAAAGAUUCGAUGAUUCACUGAAUUCUGCAAUUCACAUUACUUAUCGCAUUUCGCUGCGUUCUU
rnacentral:rRNA from 1 species